rnacentral:rRNA from 1 species
AGGAUGAACGCUGGCGGCGUGCCUAACACAUGCAAGUCGAACGUCCUGUCUCGCAAGAGGCAGGGAGUGGCGGACGGGUGAGUACCACGUGGGUCAUCUACCGUGAGGUGAGGAAUACCGGCGAGAAAUCGCCGACAAGACCGCAUAGGCUCGAUGCAAGUCGAGCAAAGCUCUUUCGAGAGAGGGAGCGCCACACGAGGAGCCUGCGCCCGAUUAGCUAGCUGGUGGAGUAACGGUUCACCAGGGCGACGAUCGGUAGCUGGUCUGAGAGGACGAUCAGCCACACUGGGAUUGAGAACGGCCCAGACUCCUACGGGGGGCAGCAGUGAGGAAUUUUCGCAAUGGGGGCAACCCUGAACGAGCAACGCCGCGUGCAGGAAGAAGGUUUUCGGAUCGUAAACUGCUUUUCGUCGGGGAAGAGGAACGGACGGUACCCGAGGAAUCGAGCCCCGGCUAACUACGUGCCAGCAGCCGCGGU